UUCAAGAGGCAAUGGCUAUUGCUCAAGGACAUGUUGCCAAAGAACAGAGACGUCAGGCUGAGCUCUAUAACCGACGUGUGAAGGGGAACUUGAUUGCUACGGGUGAUAGAGUCCUGGUUUCCAACAGACGUGAGAGAGGGAAGCGAAAAACAGCAGACAGGUGGGAGUCCACCAUAUACACUGUCGCUGGCGUGAACCAUGCUACUCACACAUAUGUGAUCAAGAAUCCUAUGACUGGACAGGAGAGGGUUGUGCACCGUAACCUGUUGAUGCUUGUUAACUUCUUACCUGUGGACGUGGACAGUCAUGCAGAUCGCACCUUUCAGUCUUCUUCUGAAGCUGGAUCUGGCGAUGUCAUGGAUGCAACGGGAUUGCUGUCUUUCUCAGAAAGUGGGGAAUCUGUGAACAGAACUCGGCAAUGGGUUGACAAUUUGUCGGCUGCAUGUUCGGACAGCUGUGAGGACGCUGAGCCCUCUAGUCGUGUUUUGAGCAUGGCUGAUGUGCCUGAGAGUGUGAGUGAUUUGCACCAUCAGGCCGGUUCAGUGACCUCUGAACAAGACUGCUUAUCGGCCCCCUCGACCAUCACUCAGGGAGGGAACAGACAACUCACGCCUUCCAACCAAUCUGGUCCUGGUGAUGUACAACCAGUCAGAUCUCGUUUUGGGCGCAUUGUCAAACCAGUCAAUCGGUUGCUCCAUGUAAUGUCCACUCAAGAGGUCGUCAAUGAUGCAAGUCAGAUAAUUGGCAAAGUCUCCAAAUCAAUACGUCAGGCUUUUCAGUGAGGUUUUUCUUCUACAUUGUGGUUUCCAGUUUGGUGUAUUUGUUCCAUUCUGGUUUGCCAUUGCACCACCGUGUUUACACUCCGGUCCCGAUGCGGGGACAUUUCUUUUUCUGUGGGGCAUGGUUUGUGUGGGGUGUAGACGGCAUCCCGCAUCCAGGAGCUGGUAGUGAGUUGGCGCCGCUCACUCUGCUUCAUCCUUUUGGGGAUACUUCUUGAGUUGGUAUAUCUAUAACCAUGUCGGGUCUGUUUUCUUUUGGGUCUUUCUUUUGUUUUGUUGAUUUUGGUGGAUGCUGUGGGUUGUGCAUCUAUAAUUUUGAGCGAAAUUCUGCGGGGGUGGAUGUAACAGAGUUAGAAAAUAGCUUAAUGAAUUUCCUCAAAAUUGAUGUGCUUUGUGAAUAGUUGGAGCCACCUGGUGGACAAAUACAGCAACUGCAACUGUUAAGGUUCCAAAUCGCUGCACAGCGCAUGCCUCAGCAAAGGAAAAUACUCCCAAGCUGGUGAACUGAAUGUUGCAGUUGCUUAGCACACUGUUAAUGACGACUGUUUUCUUUGUACCAGGUAGGCGCUGUUAAGUAUAAGUUUUAAUUGAUGCUGUUGUAUAGGAAAAAAAAAGAUGAACAAUGAUGAUUUAUAAUAGAAAAGCUGUUUUAUAUGUUAUUGUUGUUGUUGGUUAGGAAAAAGGAGAUAUAAUGUCUCUUAUCACUCACUUACCACAAGGAGAAAAAUAAAUAAAUAAUACUGCUACUAUACGAUCACAGGUUUGGUUUCAGCUAGAACUUUUAAAGAAAGAUUUUGUUAAUGUUGUGUUGUAUCUUAGUCAUUUGUUAAGUGUUAUGUUUGGAAAGAAAAAAAAAGGAAAAUACUCCCAAGCUGGUGUUGCCAGAAUAAAGAGGGAGCCCAAAGUAAGGGCAAGUCCAGCGUUGCAGUGCCGUCCUUCCUACAUGGGCAUAUCACACCACUUGCACGAUAGACUCACAGAACAGCAACAGCUACACCCGCACUUCAACGUUUGCUUGAGUGUAUUGCACUUCUUAGUUUUAACACCAGGGGGAGCUGCUGUUGAUCAAGUCAGUUGCGCCACCAAAAAGGACAAUCGCAGAAGAAAUUUACCCCCAAGUUACUAUCCUUUAAAAAAAAGAAAAAAAGAAAAAGAAAACAUGGGGUCCUCGGGCUGUACAAAGUGUACAACCCGAGGACAAAACAAGCCGAAGACCAAGGACUCCAUCUCCAGAUUAACCGGACAUGAAAGUCUUGUUAUUAAGAAAGACAAAGUAAUAUAGCAAAAAA